ACAUAAGUAACGAUAAAGCGGGUGAAAAGCCCGCUCGCCGGAAGACCAAGGGUUCCUGUCCAACGUUAAUCGGGGCAGGGUGAGUCGACCCCUAAGGCGAGGCCGAAAGGCGUAGUCGAUGGGAAACGGGUUAAUAUUCCCGUACUUGGUGUUACUGCGAAGGGGGGACGGAGAAGGCUAUGUUGGCCGGGCGACGGUUGUCCCGGUUUAAGCGUGUAGGUGUGUGUUCCAGGUAAAUCCGGUUCACUUUAACACUGAGGCGUGAUGACGAGGCACUACGGUGCUGAAGCAACAAAUGCCCUGCUUCCAGGAAAAGCCUCUAAGCAUCAGGUAACAUCAAAUCGUACCCCAAACCGACACAGGUGGUCAGGUAGAGAAUAC
rnacentral:rRNA from 1 species